AGAGAGUUUACAUUUUGAUUAUUUGAUGGCAGGAAUCCCUUUUAAAACAGGGCCAGUCUGCAUGAUGCCUUUAAAAAUCAACCUUUUCAAAUAUAGCCAUAACCCCCACAAGAUUUCUUGAUUUCUCUGGGGUCAGAUAAACCGUCACAUUUCACAGUGGUGCCCUGUACAUGAAAGUGAUAAACAUACCCUGGAAGCACGGCAGUGGCUAAAAAUAUGGAGCUGGCAGCCAUUCGCUGAAAGGAUCUUUUGCUUUUAAUUCAUUGCAGAAAAUGCUAAUGUCCAAAUUCAGGCAGGUAGAUCUUACCAACCAUCAAGAGCUUCAACCCUGCUAACAGCUAAAUUUCUGUGUGUGUGUGUGUCCCCAUGAUGAAAACAUCAUUAAAGUAAAAUAUCAUGAAUAGACUCUUAAGAAGCAGAGUCUACUGAAAGUCCUGGAAAAUAUGAAAGCACUAAUAUUCAUGGACAGCUCUACACUCUGAAAGUUACUCCAAAUUUUGUUGAUGUCUCUUUUGUCUAGGACUUUUUCAAAUUUUCUACCAUGAUCAUUUGUUAGUUUUAUAAUUA